rnacentral:rRNA from 1 species
UACAGAGGGUGCGAGCGUUGUUCGGAAUUAUUGGGCGUAAAGCGCAUGUAGGCGGCGCCUUAAGUCGCGUGUGAAAGCCCCAGGCUCAACCUGGGAAGUGCGCGCGAAACUGGGGUGCUUGAGUGCUGGAGAGGGUGGCGGAAUUCCCGGUGUAGAGGUGAAAUUCGUAGAUAUCGGGAGGAACACCAGAGGCGAAGGCGGCCACCUGGACGAGACACUGACG